CGGAAGAACGAUGGGGCAUUGUAACCGUCGGUUACGAUGAGCAAUUGAUGGCUCCGCCACAAUAAAUAUCAAUCCUUGAGCGGUUCAAUAUUUUGCCCUCCCAGCAUGCAAAUCCAACUCUGCCUUUUCCUGCUACGAGCUCCACUGCCACCCAAAUGGUACCCACAUCAUUUCACAGUACUUAUUUACAGCGGUACCUGUCUCAUUUGGCUGCCGCUACACGCCACGGGUAGAGUAGCCAGUAAAAGGGUUAGCAAACGGAUAUAGCCGAGCUGUCAAACUUCGGAGGUGUUCGGUACAUCUCCGGUGCCGACUUACGAAUACGUCACCGUUUUAGGCUCAGCUCCAGGCCCUGAUCCUUCUUUCUGCUCUGACAAUCAAAGGAAUAAGAAGUGCGCGCGGUGUUCUUAAUUUUCCAAAGUAAUUUUUGUUAAGUGUUAAAAGUGAUGCAGGUUAAUUGAUUUAAUGCUUUUUUAUAGUUACAGUUAGUAAAAGUCCAAACACAAAAGGACUGAUUAAUGGACUAGAGUAAUAGAGUUUAAAAGUGGUACGCAAAGUAAAAUAACGGUGAGAAGACGGUUCACAGACAAAUUAAAAUACCGGAAAAAAAAGGUCCCCAGAGGACCUUUUAUUCUUGGAUCCAGAUUGUCAUCUGGAACCUAUUCCUUCGCAGAACGGGACCAAGAACAGGAACGGAAACUACCGCCAACAUACGGCUCUCUGUCCGUCGCCACGUGCCGAGACCCCCCGGAAACAAUCCCGGCAAC